rnacentral:rRNA from 1 species
UACGUAGGGGGCAAGCGUUGUCCGGAAUCAUUGGGCGUAAAGAGCGCGUAGGCGGUCCGGUAAGUCGGUUGUGAAAACUGGGGGGCUCAACCCUCCAGAGGCCGACCGAUACUGUCGGGCUAGAGUCCGGAAGAGGCGACUGGAAUUCCUGUGUAGCGGUGAAAUGCGCAGAUAUCAGGAGGAACACCAAUGCGAAGGCAGCUCGCUGGGACGUUACUGACGCUGAGACGCGAAAGCGUGGGGAGCAA